rnacentral:tRNA from 2 species
GGAGAGAUUCCCGAGUGGCCAAAGGGAGCAGACUGUAAAUCUGUUGUCACCGACUUCGAUGGUUCGAAUCCAUCUCUCUCCACCA